rnacentral:rRNA from 1 species
GACGAACGCUGGCGGCGUGCCUAAUACAUGCAAGUCGAGCGGACUUUCAAGAAGCUUGCUUUUUGAAAGUUAGCGGCGGACGGGUGAGUAACACGUGGGCAACCUGCCUGUAAGACGGGGAUAACUCCGGGAAACCGGGGCUAAUACCGGAUAAUAUCUUUCUUCGCAUGAAGGAAGGUUGAAAGGCGGCGCAAGCUGCCGCUUGCAGAUGGGCCCGCGGCGCAUUAGCUAGUUGGUGAGGUAACGGAUCACCAAGGUGACGAUGCGUAGCGGACCUGAGAGGGUGAUCAGCCACACUGGGACUGAGACACGGCCCAGACUCCUACGGGAGGCAGCAGUAGGGAAUCUUCCGCAAUGGACGAAAGUCUGACGGAGCAACGCCGCGUGAGCGAAGAAGGUCUUCGGAUCGUAAAGCUCUGUUGUCAGGGAAGAACAAGUACCGUUCGAAUAGGGCGGUACCUUGACGGUACCUGACCAGAAAGCCACGGCUAACUACGUGCCAGCCGCCGCGGUAA